GUCAGACAGAUGGUGGACAGACAGGUCAGACAGAUGGUGGACAGACAGGUCAGACAGAUGGUCAGAUAGAUGGUCAGACCUGUCAGCUAGAUGGUGGACAGACAGGUCAGCUAGAUGGUGGACAGACAGGUCAGCUAGAUGGUGGACAGACAGGUCAGCUAGAUGGUGGUCAGACAGGUCAGCUAGAUGGUCAGAUAGAUGGUCAGACAGGUCAGACAGACAGGUCAGAUAGAUGGUGGACAGACAGGUCAGACAGGUGGUGGUCAGACAGGUCAGAGAUGGUGGUUAGACAGGUCAGAUAGAUGGUAGACAGACAGGUCAGAUAGAUGGUAGACAGACAGGUCAGAUAGAUGGUCAGAUAGAUGGUAGUGGUGGGAGUAGACAGACAGGUCAGAUAGAUGGUAGACAGACAGGUCAGAUAGAUGGUAGACAGACAGGUCAGAUAGAUGGUAGACAGACAGGUCAGAUAGAUGGUGGUCAGACAGGUCAGAUAGAUGGUCAGAUAGAUGGUAGACAGACAGGUCAGAUAGAUGGUAGACAGACAGGUCAGAUAGAUGGUAGAUAGACAGGUCAGAUAGAUGGUAGACAGGUCAGAUAGAUGGUGGUCAGACAGGUCAGAUAGAUGGUGGUCAGACAGGUCAGAUAGAUGGUAGACAGACAGGUCAGCUAGAUGGUGGACAGACAGGUCAGCUAGAUGGUGGACAGACAGGUCAGCUAGAUGGUGGAC
ensembl:lncRNA